AGUAAGAUGGCUGAGAUAUAAGCAAAAGAUUGUAAACCUUUAAACGGACCUAGUCCUCUUACUA
rnacentral:tRNA from 1 species